UACGUAGGGACCAAGCGUUGUUCGGAUUUACUGGGCGUAAAGGGCGCGUAGGCGGCGUGACAAGUCACUUGUGAAAUCUCUGGGCUUAACCCAGAACGGCCAAGUGAAACUGUUGUGCUAGAGUGCAGAAGGGGCAAUCGGAAUUCUCGGUGUAGCGGUGAAAUGCGUAGAUAUCGAGAGGAACACCAGAGGUGAAGACGGGUUUGCUGGGCUGACACUGACGCUGAGGCGCGAAAGCCAGGGAGCAAACGGG
rnacentral:rRNA from 1 species